GGUCACCGCAAGGGAAGCUGGCGACCGAAGCCCCGAUAAACGGCGGCCGUAACUAUGACGGUCCUAAGGUAGCGAAAUUCCUUGUCGGGUAAGUUCCGACCUGCACGAAUGGAGUAACGAUUUCCCUACUGUCUCCACCAUGAACUCGGUGAAAUUGCAUUACGAGUAAAGAUGCUCGUUACGCGCAGCAGGACGGAAAGACCCCGGGACCUUUACUAUAGUUUGGUAUUGGUGAUUGGGACGGUUUGUGUAGGAUAGGUGGGAGACGUUGAUGCGGCCACGCUAGUGGUGGUGGAGUCGUUGGUGAAAUACCACUCUGAUUGUUCUGGUUAUCUCACUGUGGACCGUGAUCCGGUUCAAGGACAGUGCCUGAUGGGUAGUUUGACUGGGGCGGUCGCCUCCCAAAAGGUAACGGAGGCGCCCAAAGGUUCCCUCAGCCUGGUUGGCAAUCAGGUGUCGAGUGCAAGUGCACAAGGGAGCUUGACUGUGAGACCGACGGGUCGAGCAGGGACGAAAGUCGGGACUAGUGAUCUGACGGUGGCUUGUGGAUGCGCCGUCACUCAACGGAUAAAAGGUACCCCGGGGAUAACAGGCUGAUCUUGCCCGAGCGCUCACAGCGACGGCAUGGUUUGGCACCUCGAUGUCGGCUCGUCGCAUCCUGGGGCUGGAGUAGGUCCCAAGGGUUGGGCUGUUCGCCCAUUAAAGCGGUACGUGAG
rnacentral:rRNA from 1 species